rnacentral:rRNA from 1 species
AGCGAGAGAGAGCUUGCUUUCUCGAGCGAGUGGCGAACGGGUGAGUAACGCGUGAGGAACCUGCCUCAAAGAGGGGGACAACAGUUGGAAACGACUGCUAAUACCGCAUAAGCCCACGGGUCGGCAUCGACCAGAGGGAAAAGGAGCAAUCCGCUUUGAGAUGGCCUCGCGUCCGAUUAGCUGGUUGGUGAGGUAACGGCCCACCAAGGCGACGAUCGGUAGCCGGCCUGAGAGGGUGAACGGCCACAUUGGGACUGAGACACGGCCCAAACUCC